GGGCAUAUGGUGAAGGGGUUACCACGUUCGCUUUGCAUUCCUUUCGUGGAACGAAUGACCUCCGGUUCAAGUCUGAGUUUGUCUA